CUACGGGUUGCUCCAGUGAGGAAUAUUGCACAAUGGGGGGAACCCUGAUGCAGCAACGCCGCGUGGAGGAUGACGCAUUUCGGUGUGUAAACUCCUUUUAUAUGUCAAGAAAAUGACGGUAGCAUAUGAAUAAGCACCGGCUAACUCCGUGCCAGCAGCCGCGGUAAUACGGAGGGUGCAAGCGUUACUCGGAAUCACUGGGCGUAAAGGACGCGUAGGCGGGCUUGUAAGUCAGGUGUGAAAUCCUACAGCUUAACUGUAGAACUGCACUUGAAACUACGAGCCUAGAGUAUGGGAGGGGGAGAUGGAAUUAGUGGUGUAGGGGUAAAAUCCGUAGAUAUCACUAGGAAUACCUAAAGCGAAGGCGAUCUCCAGGAACAUAACUGACGCUAAGGCGUGAAAGCGUGGGGAGCAAACAGGAUUAGAUACCCUAGUAGUC
rnacentral:rRNA from 1 species